rnacentral:lncRNA from 1 species
UACAGUCAAUUGACCGGUUCCGCAAUUUGACCAGUUCCGCAAUUUCGGAAAACUAGCUCUCGUUUUCAGGAAGACGAAAACGCCAAGGACUUAAACUUUGGUAUCGAUGGAAAGGUUAUUCAAUCUACUUUUCAAAAAUGGUUUUAGUUUUAGGAUACUCACUUACAUUUAAAAAUAAAUCCCCUACGACCGUCACUUGCCGUUAACGAACUGCCGAAAUGGAACGCGCACGGAAGCGUGAUUUCAUGUUUGUCGGCCUGCUACACGAUUGUUCAGGGGAAUUAAAUCAUGGCGAUUGAUGCAACUUGUUCGGAAAUUAUUCAUUAUUCCACCAUACAAAUAUAAGAUUUGAAGUCUUUGAAUUUUUUUUUCUAUACCCACCAGAGUAACUGCUGGUCGUUUGGCCGGUUCCGCAAACGCAUUCAUACUGCCUAUACAAUACACUGGCCAUGGUGUAUUAACCAGUGCUGCUAUUGACAAGUAUUGUUGAUGACGGCCCCCUAGCGCGGUGCACUUUAUUUAUUUUGGCAUGAAUCUUUCUUUUUUUACAACUUACAAAGAAUUGAGAAUUUCUAUUUAUUUUUAAUCCUUGUUUUAAAAAUGUCGAAUUUGAUGAUCAUUUCUGGGUGUUCAGUGCAAAAAAUUGAAAACUAAAUUGAAACAAAAUGAUUUUGUUUCUGUCCAGCUUCCGGACAGCACUGUAGGUUUUGGAUAAAAAAAAUUUGGACUUCAAAAUUUAAAAUACAAAAAUCUUUCUCAAUACUUCCCACUAAACGCUUUUCCUUUGCUCUAAAAAAAUUCACCCCAUACUUGAUGUUGAAGCAGUUGUGCCUCAGGGGUUUGAAUUCAUUUUAGAGUUACAACUCUCCACAUCCAGGGUGCAUGAGUCAGCCCAGGCUAGGAGACAAUGCCAAAGACAAAGAAGAAGAUUACGCCAGCCUCCUGAUAGGCCAUAAGAGGCCAUCGGCACAUCUUUUUCAGUUUUACCUGUGAAGGUCAAGAAGAAGUUGAAUAUUAUAGUGAAAGUACAUGUAGCUGUGUGUCUUCAUCACCAUUUCUUUGAAUUUUAUUUAUGUGACAAGUUUUUUUGUAUAGUGCUAGCUUCUGGAGUGCUUAAAUUAUUUGUGUAUAACAAUUAAACAGACAUGCAGGUGUCAUAAAGGCAAUAAAUUUAAAGGCGUUACAUACAUUUUUAUUUACCAGUACAUGUGAAAGAGAAGUGAGGUGUUUGAAAAACUAUGCUACUUUGCAUGAAAAACUCACAGGACAUGUCUAUUUCUGUGAUUCAUCACCAUUUAUUUAUAUGACACGUAUAUUUUUGGAUUUAAAAGGGGUAGCUUCUUGAGUGCUUUAGUUUUGUAUUACAUUUACACAUGCAGGUAUCACAUGUCAAUAUAUUGAAAGGGUUAUCGGGAUAUACGUGAUGAAUGUGUUGACAUUUUCUUUUAAGAGCAUCA